CUUUCUCUUUGGUGGCUGAAGAAAUUGUGAGGAAUAAGAUGAAGAACACAAGUUAACUUUGGAUUUUUUCUGAAAGUUGUAAACUUAGCUUGAGCAAAAUUUCUUAUUGGUGGCGUUUAGGGGAUUUACUUUUGGCAUUACUUGAAGACAUAUGAGGACAUCUUCCGUUAGUUCUAAAAUAGGGUUUAGGUAGAGUUAUUGUAUGUAUUGCAAACAAUUAUUAUAUGGAAUGAGUUUGAAUUGGAUUCUUGUUUUA